rnacentral:rRNA from 1 species
UGGGGAAUCUUGCGCAAUGGGCGAAAGCCUGACGCAGCGACGCCGCGUGAGUGAUGAAGGCCUUCGGGUUGUAAAGCUCUGUGGGGAGAGAAGAAUAAGUGCGGGCUAAUACCCCGCAUGAUGACGGUAUCUCCUUAGCAAGCACCGGCUAACUCUGUGCCAGCAGCCGCGGUAAGACAGAGGGUGCAAACGUUGUUCGGAAUUACUGGGCGUAAAGCGAGUGUAGGCGGUUUGGUAAGUCGGAUGUGAAAGCCCCCGGGCUCAACCCGGGAAGUGCAUUCGAUACUGCCAAGCUAGAGUAUCGGAGAGGUUGGUGGAAUUCUCGGUGUAGAGGUGAAAUUCGUAGAUAUCGAGAGGAACACCGGUGGCGAAGGCGGCCAACUGGACGAAUACUGACGCUGAGACUCGAAAGCGUGGGGAGCAAACAGGAUUAGAUACCCUCGUAGUCCCUGAGCGGGCUGGCAAGGCGCAU